GGGUUGUGAGGUUAAGCGACUAAGCGUACACGGUGGAUGCCCUGGCAGUCAGAGGCGAUGAAGGACGUGCUAAUCUGCGAUAAGCGCCGGUAAGGUGAUAUGAACCGUUAUAACCGGCGAUUUCCGAAUGGGGAAACCCAGUGUGACUCGUCACACUAUCAUUAACUGAAUCCAUAGGUUAAUGAGGCGAACCGGGGGA
rnacentral:rRNA from 1 species